UGGAGGCAGCAGUGGGGAAUAUUGGACAAUGGGCGCAAGCCUGAUCCAGCAAUGCCGCGUGUGUGAAGAAGGCCUGCGGGUUGUAAAGCACUUUAAGCAGGAAAGAAGGGACGAAAGCUAAUACCUCUCGUCAUUGACGUUACCUGCAGAAUAAGCACCGGCUAACUCCGUGCCAGCAGCCGCGGUAAUACGGAGGGUGCGAGCGUUAAUCGGAAUUACUGGGCGUAAAGCGCGCGUAGGCGGUUCGCUAAGUCAGCUGUGAAAGCCCCGGGCUUAACCUGGGAACUGCAGUUGAUACUGGCGGGCUAGAGUGUGGUAGAGGGCAGUGGAAUUUCCGGUGUAGCAGUGAAAUGCGUAGAGAUCGGAAGGAACACCAGUGGCGAAGGCGACUGCCUGGACCAACACUGACGCUGAGGUGCGAAAGCGUGGGGAGCAAACAGGAUUAGAUACCCCGGU
rnacentral:rRNA from 1 species